AACAUCUAUAUAUCAGCCAAACAUAUCAAAGGUUUUUCUUUAACAUAAUAAGAUCAUAGUGGGAGUAAAACUCUGUGUUGAUCCAUUCUUCAAUAUCUCCAGAAAAAGAAUGUCAUUUCAAGUUGUCUCAGAUCUCAUUGCACCAAGUAAUGCCUCUUCCAUUGAUGGUGUUCUUCGUCCAAACUUUCAACCAAGUGUUUGGGGAGAUUAUUUCCUUUCCUGUAAUGGAUGACUUGGUCAGGAAAAAACUUCAAAAACUGAAAGAAGAAGUGAGAAGCAUGCUUGCAGCUGCUAAAAAGUCUUGAGAACAUUAAGUUUGAUUGAUUCAAUCCCUCACCUGAGUUUGUCUUACCACUUUGAAGAAGAAAUUAAUGAAAUUCUAGAGCAUGUGCAAAAUCCUCGCAGUCUUGGUGAUGAAGAUAUUUACAUUAAUUGUUGCUCUUAGAUUUCGAUGGCUUAGACAACAAGGUUACUCUAUCUGAUGUGAACACAUGUGCUGAAGUGCCAGAGUCAGCAAACAAAGUUGUGUUCAUGGUAUUUUUCUCAUUGAGGGAGAGAGCUGCAAGUGCUUGAGAUUGCUGGUGUGGAGCUUGCAAACUGCUUAUGUAUCAUUUGUUGCAUCUUGUUUGUGGAUAAUGUUUGUGAGUAAGUUUGAGCUCUUCCUUGAUUUCAACUUCUUCCUCUUGUAUUAUAGUUGCAAUUGUUCCACGUCUUUGACUAAGAAAGGCUUGAUUAUGGUUAAUUUGAUGAGACUUUUCUUCCUGACUUUCUACUA